rnacentral:rRNA from 1 species
UCGAACGAUGAACCAGGAGCUUGCUCUUGGGGAUUAGUGGCGAACGGGUGAGUAACACGUGAGUAACCUGCCCUUGACUCUGGGAUAACCUCCGGAAACGGAAGCUAAUACCGGAUACGAACUGCGAAGGCAUCUUCAGCAGUUGGAAAGAACUUCGGUCAAGGAUGGACUCGCGGCCUAUCAGGUAGUUGGUGAGGUAAAGGCUCACCAAGCCUACGACGGGUAGCCGGCCUGAGAGGGUGACCGGCCACACUGGGACUGAGACACGGCCCAGACUCCUACGGGAGGCAGCAGUGGGGAAUAUUGCACAAUGGGCGCAAGCCUGAUGCAGCAACGCCGCGUGAGGGAUGACGGCCUUCGGGUUGUAAACCUCUUUUAGUAGGGAAGAAGCGAAAGUGACGGUACCUGCAGAAAAAGCACCGGCUAACUACGUGCCAGCAGCCGCGGUAAUACGUAGGGUGCGAGCGUUGUCCGGAAUUAUUGGGCGUAAAGAGCUCGUAGGCGGUCUGUCGCGUCUGCUGUGAAAACCCGAGGCUCAACCUCGGGCCUGCAGUGGGUACGGGCAGACUAGAGUGCGGUAGGGGAGAAUGGAAUUCCUGGUGUAGCGGUGGAAUGCGCAGAUAUCAGGAGGAACACCGAUGGCGAAGGCAGUUCUCUGGGCCGUAACUGACGCUGAGGAGCGAAAGCGUGGGGAGCGAACAGGAUUAGAUA